UCGAACGCAUCGCAAGAUGAGUGGCAGACGGGUGAGUAACGCGUGGGAAUCUACCCAAUUCUUCGGAACAACUGAGGGAAACUUCAGCUAAUACCGGAUGUGCCCUUCGGGGGAAAGAUUUAUCGGAAUUGGAUGAGCCCGCGUUGGAUUAGCUAGUUGGUGGGGUAAAGGCCUACCAAGGCGACGAUCCAUAGCUGGUCUGAGAGGAUGAUCAGCCACACUGGGACUGAGACACGGCCCAGACUCCUACGGGAGGCAGCAGUGGGGAAUAUUGGACAAUGGGCGCGAGCCUGAUCCAGCCAUGCCGCGUGAGUGAUGAAGGUCCUAGGAUUGUAAAGCUCAGUCACCGGUGAAGAUAAUGACGGUAACCGGAGAAGAAUCCCCGACUAACUUCGUGCCAGCACACUCGCUGGUAACUACCGAAGGGGGCCCUAGCGUUGUUCGGAUUUACCUGGCCGCUAAAGCGCACGUAGUAGGUCUAAUAAAUCUCGGGUGACAUUCCGGGGCUCAACCCCGGAACUGCCUUUGAUACUGGUAGUCUUGAGUUCGAGAGAGGUGAGUGGAAUUCCGAGUGUAGAGGUGAAAUUCGUAGAUAUUCGGAGGAACACCAGUGCGAAGCGGCUCACUGGCUCGAUACUGACGCUGAGUGCGAAAGCGUGGG
rnacentral:rRNA from 1 species